CAGUCGCCACGGUAAUACAGAGGGUGCGAGCGUUAAUCGGAUUUACUGGGCGUAAAGCGUGCGUAGGCGGCUUCUUAAGUCGGAUGUGAAAUCACUGAGCUUAACUUAGGAAUUGCAUUCGAUACUGGGAAGCUAGAGUAUGGGAGAGGAUGGUAGAAUUCCAGGUGUAGCGGUGAAAUGCGUAGAGAUCUGGAGGAAUACCGAUGGCGAAGGCAGCCAUCUGGCCUAAUACUGACGCUGAGGUACGAAAGCAUGGGGAGCAAACAGGAUUAGAUACCCCUGUAGUCCCUGUCUCUUAUAC
rnacentral:rRNA from 1 species